CAAAAUAUAGCUUAACUAAAGCCCCUCGCUUACACCGAAAAGAUAUCUACUCAUACCAGAUUAUUUUGA
rnacentral:tRNA from 1 species